UUUGGUUUUGAUAUAUAUAAUUGCAAGUUUAUAUAGUUUUUAAUAAUGGUUUUAAUAACCUAGCUUGUAUUGUCCAGCUAUUCUGCUGUCAAAUCCACCCAAUGGUCACUCCUUACCUUGGGGAAUUUACACUUUUGUCUGGACUUAAAAGGCCCCCAUCAAGAACCAGAUUAUCCAAGUUCUACUUUUGGUAGGACAAAGUGCUUUACCCCUUUUUUCUAUUUUUAAAAGUCAAGUAUAGAGCUGUAUUCUGAAUUCAUAGCAACUCACUUUCUUUGGCUACCAGGUUAGCACUACUGACAUAGGAGAUAAAAUUUGUUCAUAAUUUAUCUUCUUUUAGAUUUAAAACUUAAAAAAAUCCAUACAAAAUUUAUUCCCACAGUAGAUCAAACACAAACCACAUCACAUUAAAUUAGCAAAUAUACAGUUGUAAAGGAACAAAAAAAUAAUAAUGUCGCAUCACCAGUCGAAACUAAGAACUCAAAUAGGUUUGUCAAUUAAACAAAAAUCAAAGCAACUUGCUGUACAAUGACACUUCAAAAUUCAAAGAAAGAUAAUACAAAAGUUCAAAGACUUGCUGACAAGCAACUGCUAUUCUCCUUCCAGGGAGAAGGCCAGAAAGAGGUCAGAAAGAUGUCAUUUCAUGUUUGAUCUACUUCUGAGAUACUUUGUUCUUCAAAUUAUUGUGGCCCAAAUGGACAGACUGGAAGGACUCAGAGAACAACUGCAAGGACUCAGGGAUAGAAGAGCUAAUGCUGUCAAGACCAUAGCCACUCAGAAUUUGAUCACUCAUUUCUGGUUCAUGAUACUCUUAACAUUGCUCCAUGAAAUGACCUCUUACUUCUUUGUUGGUUGGUUUCCUUUAAUAAUGUCAUCAACAAGUGGGAUUACAUUAAAAGCUUCUAUACAGCAAAAGAGAGAAUCAACAAAACAAAAUGGAAAGGUAAUCAAUCUGUGGAAUGGGAGAAAAUAUUUGCAAGCCACACAUCUGAUAACAGGUUACUAUCCAAAAUAUAUAAGGAACUCAUACAACUAAAGAGCAAAUAAAGAAAAGUAAUAAUCCA
rnacentral:lncRNA from 12 species